CUUAACACAAAUAGAUCAAAGCAGAAAAAAAUAGUUCAAUAGAGUGAAAAGAAGAAAGAUGGCUUCAGACGAAUGCAAAGGAAAAAGUUCAUGGCCGGAGCUUGUGGGGAAGAAAGGGGAGGAUGCAGCAGCAAGAAUUGAGAAGGAGAAUCCUCAUGUCAAUGCUGUGAUUGUGUUGGAAGGAUCAUUUGUUACAGCGGAUUUCUUGUGCACUAGGGUUCGAGUUUGGGUUAACACCUAUGGGAUUGUUACCAGGGUUCCGACCAUUGGUUAGAUUGUGAAGGGCUGAUGCUUCACUAGCAAGUUACUUGCUUUAAUUUCUUUAGUAAAUGGAGACUACUUGUUGUAAUUUAAAAUAAGAAUAUUCUAAAUUAAGGUAUUUGAUAUCAUUGUUUAUAUGUAAGUCUGUAAUUGGUUUCGAAUUUAAAAUAAAAUGUUGAAUGGUCUCCAUUAAUU